UGCCGCCCUGAAGGGCGUGUGGUGGAUGCCUCGGCAGACAGUCCCGAUGAAGGAUGUUUGAGGCUGCGAUAAGCCUCGGGGAGCCUCCAACAUGGCUUCGAUCCGAGGAUUUCCGAAUGGGGCAACCCGCCGGCCGUCAUGGGCCGGCACGGGACCUUUGGGUUCCGGGGGUACGCAGGGAAGUGAAACAUCUCAGUACCUGCAGGAAGGGAUACUCCGUGAGUAGUGGCGAGCGAAAGCGGAUCAGACCAAACCAUGGGCGCGUGAUACCCGUCGGGGGUUGCGUUCGUGGUGUUGCGGGAGCGUGUGUCCCGGUUCCGACGGACCGGGCGGGAGUCAUAAAACGGCUUGCCAGGGGAACAGGCUUGAAGGCCUGGCCGCAGAGGGUGCCAGCCCCGUACCUGGAAGCUUGCCGUCUUCCGAUCAUGUGUCCCAAGUAGCGCGGGCCUCGUGGAAUCCCGUGUGAAUCGGCCCCGACCGUGGGGUAAGUCUAAGCAUACCUGUCUGACCGAUAGCGUACCAGUACCGUGAGGGAAAGGUGAAAAGCACCCCGGGAGGGGAGUGAAACAGUACCUGAAACCGUGCGCCCACGAGCAGUCGGAGCACCUAUACGGUGUGACGGCGUGCCUUUUGUAGAAUGAGCCAGCGAGUCGCUGGCGCGGGGCGAGGUUAACCGAAAGGGAGCCGGAGCGAAAGCGAGCCUUAACAGGGCGACUUGAGUCCCGCGCCGCGGACGCGAAGCCGGGUGAGCUAUCCGUGGGCAGGCUGAAGCGGGGGUAAGACCCCGUGGAGGGCCGAACGCACGUCGGUUGAAAACGGCGGCGAUGACCUGCGGAUAGGGGUGAAAGGCCAAUCAAACCCGGAGAUAUCUCGUUCUCCCCGAAAUAGCUUUAGGGCUAGCGUCGCGCGUUCACCGCCGGAGGUAGAGCACCGGAUGGACGAGGGGGCUUCGCCGCCUACCGAAUCCAACCGAACUCCGAAUGCCGGCGGCCCAGAGCGCGGCAGUCAGAGCAUGUGGGCUAAGCUGUGUGCUCGAGAGGGAAACAGCCCGGACCGCCCGCUAAGGUCCCCAAGUUCCAGCCGAGUGGCAAAGGAUGUGCGUCCGCCCAGACAACCAGGAUGUUGGCUUAGAAGCAGCCAUACAUUCAAAGAGUGCGUAACAGCUCACUGGUCGAGUGGACAUGCGCCGACAAUACACGGGGCUAAGCUGGACACCGAAGCGGCGGGAUUUUAUUUCAUAGAAUCGGUAGGGGAGCUUCCCAUGGGCGGGGAAGCCGCCGGGCGACCGGCGGUGGAGCGCAUGGGAGUGAGAAUGCUGGCAUGAGUAGCGAGAGACGAGAGAGUAACUCGUCCGCCGUGAACCCGAGGUUUCCUGGGCAAGGCUAAUCCUCCCAGGGUCAGUCGGGGGCUAAGGCGAGGCCGGGAGGCGUAGCCGACGCGCAGCAGGCAGACAUUCCUGCACCGCGCACGCGGCGCUACGACCGACGGGGCGACGGAUGGGGGUGGCUCGGCGGGGUUCUGGACGUCCCCGUGAUGGAGCGCGGCCCGCGGACCAGGGAAAUCCGGUCCGCACGAGGGCGAGGCUCCGGACGAAGCAUCUGAGCGAAGCGAGUGAGCCCGAGGUCCCUAGAAAAACCCCUAGGCAGGCGCGUGCGCGCCCGUACCGCAAACCGACACAGGUGGGUGGGUAGAACAUACCGAGGCGAUCGGGGCAACCAUGGUCAAGGAACUCGGCAAAAUGGCCCCGUAACUUCGGGAGAAGGGGUGCCCGCGCGUACGUGAACGGACUUGCUCCGGGAGCGGAGGCGGGCCGCAGUGGAGAGGCCCAAGCGACUGUUUACCAAAAACACAGGACUCUGCAGAAGCCGCAAGGCGACGUAUAGGGUCUGACGCCUGCCCGGUGCCGGAAGGUCACGCGGAGGAGUUAGCGCAUCGCGCGAAGCCCCGAAGCCAAGCCCCGGUAAACGGCGGCCGUAACUAUAACGGUCCUAAGGUAGCGAAAUUCCUUGUCGGGUAAGUUCCGACCUGC
rnacentral:rRNA from 1 species